rnacentral:rRNA from 1 species
UACGAAGGGGGCUAGCGUUGCUCGGAAUCACUGGGCGUAAAGCGCACGCAGGCGGAUUGCUAAGUCAGGGGUGAAAUCCUGGAGCUCAACUCCAGAACUGCCUUUGAUACUGGCGAUCUCGAGUCCGGGAGAGGUGAGUGGAACUGCGAGUGUAGAGGUGAAAUUCGUAGAUAUUCGCAAGAACACCAGUGGCGAAGGCGGCUCACUGGCCCGGUACUGACGCUGAGGUGCGAAAGCGUGGGGAGCAAACAGG